ACCUGGCUGGCUCAGUGGGUAGAGCAUGUGACUCUUGAUCACAGGUUCCUGAGUUCGAGCCCCAUGUUAUGCU
rnacentral:tRNA from 1 species